rnacentral:rRNA from 1 species
GAUCAACGCUGGCGGCGCACAUAAGACAUGCAAGUUGAACGGACUUAAUCGAAAUAUUUCUAUUUUGAAGCGGUUAGUGGCGGACUGGUGAGUAACGCGUAAGGAACCUGCCUAUUAGAGGGGAAUAACAGUGAGAAAUCAUUGCUAAUACCGCAUAUGCCAUAGAUAUCACAUGAUAACAGUGGGAAAGGAGCAAUCCGCUAAUAGAUGGCCUUGCGUCUGAUUAGAUAGUUGGUGGGGUAACGGCCUACCAAGUCGACGAUCAGUAGCCGGACUGAGAGGUUGAACGGCCACAUUGGGACUGAGAUACGGCCCAGACUCCUACGGGAGGCAGCAGUCGGGAAUAUUGCGCAAUGGAGGAAACUCUGACGCAGUGACGCCGCGUAUAGGAAGAAGGUUUUCGGAUUGUAAACUAUUGUCGUUAGGGAAGAUAAAGGACAGUACCUAAGGAGGAAGCUCCGGCUAACUACGUG